UCACGCCAUAAGAUUAGCCCAAGUGGGAUAGCUAGUUGGUGAGGUAAUGGCUCACCAAGGCGACGAUCCCUAGCUGGUUUGAGAGGAUGAUCAGCCACACUGGGACUGAGACACGGCCCAGACUCCUACGGGAGGCAGCAGUGGGGAAUAUUGCACAAUGGGCGCAAGCCUGAUGCAGCCAUGCCGCGUGUGUGAAGAAGGCCUUCGGGUUGUAAAGCACUUUCAGUAAGGAGGAAAGGUUAAGUGUUAAUAGCACUUAGCUGUGACGUUACUUACAGAAGAAGCACCGGCUAACUCCGUGCCAGCAGCCGCGGUAAUACGGAGGGUGCGAGCGUUAAUCGGAAUUACUGGGCGUAAAGCGUACGCAGCCGGUUUGUUAAGCGAGAUGUGAAAGCCCCGGGCUCAACCUGGGAACUGCAUUUCGAACUGGCAAACUAGAGUGUGAUAGAGGGUGGUAGAAUUUCA
rnacentral:rRNA from 1 species